CAUGAAUAAGGGGCUCCCAACUCUGUGCCAGCAGGAGCGGUAAUACAGAGGCCCCGAGCGUUACCCGGAAUCACUGGGCGUAAAGGGUGCGUAGGCGGUUAUACUAGUCGGGCGUUAAAUCCCGGGGCUCAACCCCGGACUCGCGUUCGAAACGGUAUGACUAGGAGAAGUGAGAGGUGUGCGGAACUCAAGGUGUAGGGGUGAAAUCCGUUGAUAUCUUGGGGAACACCAAAUGCGAAGGCAGCACACUGGCACUUUCUCGACGCUGAGGCACGAAAGCGUGGGUAGCGAAUGGGAUUAGAUACCCCAGUAGUCCACGCCCUAAACGCUGUCUGCUGGCUUUGGCGAGUAUCGACCCUCGCCGAGGCGAAGUUAACACGUUAAGCAGACCGCCUGGGUAGUACGACCGCAAGGUUAAAACUCAAAGGAAUAGACGGGGACCCGCACAAGCGGUGGAGCGCGAGGCUUAAUUCGUCGCUAAACGAAAAACCUUACCAAGGCUAGAAAUCCAGCUGCACGCUCUGGGAAACCAGAGAAGCUUUCGAAGGUGCUGGACAGGUGAUGCAUGGCUGUCGUCAGUUCGUGGCUUGAGCUGUUCCCUUAAGUGGGGAAACGAACGCAACCCUCGUUGCCUGUUAUAUGUGUCAGGCGAGACUGCUCCCUCACGGGAGAGGAAGGUGAGGAUGACGCCAAGUCAGCAUGUCCCUUGAUGCCUUGGGCUGCACUCACGCUACAAUGGUACGCACAACGGGACGCAAUACCGUAAGGUGGAGCCAAUCCUAAUAAAACGUGCCCCAGUUCGGAUUGAGGGCUGCAACUCGCCCUCAUGAAGUCGGAAUCG
rnacentral:rRNA from 1 species